UUUCCGGUUGAUCCCGCCGGACCUGACUGCUAUCGGAUUGAUACUAAGCCAUGCGAGUCUUUGUAGUAAUACAAGGCAUACGGCUCAGUAACGCGUAGUCAACCUACCCUAUGGACAAGAAUAAUCUCGGGAAACUGAGCAUAAUUCUUGAUAGAUCAUGAUGCCUGGAAUGGUAUAUGGUUAAAAUGAUUCGUCGCCAUAGGAUGGGACUGCGGCCUAUCAGCUUGUUGGUGAGGUAAUGGCCCACCAAGGCGAUUACAGGUACGGGCUCUGAGAGGAGAAGCCCGGAGAUGGGUACUGAGACAAGGACCCAGGCCCUAUGGGGCGCAGCAGGCGAGAAAACUUUGCAAUGUGCGAAAGCACGACAAGGUUAGUCCGAGUGAUUUCUGCUAAAGAGAUCUUUUGCUAGUUAUAAAACCACUAGUGAAUAAGGGGUGGGCAAGUUCUGGUGUCAGCCGCCGCGGUAAAACCAGCACCUCAAGUGGUCAGGAUGAUUAUUGGGCCUAAAGCAUCCGUAGCCGGCUCUGUAAGUUUUCGGUUAAAUCUAUGCGCUCAACGUAUGGGCUGCCGAAAAUACUGCAGAGAUAGGGAGUGGGAGAGGUAGACGGUACUCGGUAGGAAGGGGUAAAAUCCUUUGAUCUAUCGAUGACCACCUGUGGCGAAGGCGGUCUACCAGAACACGUUCGACGGUGAGGGAUGAAAGCUGGGGGAGCAAACCGGAUUAGAUACCCGGGUAGUCCCAGCUGUAAACGAUGCAGACUCGAUGAUGCAUUGGCUUAUAGCCAGUGCAGUGUCGCAGGGAAGCCGUUAAGUCUGCCGCCUGGGAAGUACGUACGCAAGUAUGAAACUUAAAGGAAUUGGCGGGGGAGCACCACAAGGGGUGAAGCCUGCGGUUCAAUUGGAGUCAACGCCGGG
rnacentral:rRNA from 1 species